rnacentral:rRNA from 1 species
GACGAACGCUGGCGGCGUGCUUAACACAUGCAAGUCGAACGAUGAAGCUGGAGCUUGCUCCAGUGGAUUAGUGGCGAACGGGUGAGUAACACGUGAGCAAUCUGCCCUUGACUCUGGAAUAACUGCGGGAAACUGUAGCUAAUACCGGAUACGACACCUUGGGGCAUCCCGGGGUGUGGAAAGAAUUUCGGUCAAGGAUGAGCUCGCGGCCUAUCAGCUUGUUGGUGAGGUAAAGGCUCACCAAGGCGACGACGGGUAGCCGGCCUGAGAGGGUGACCGGCCACACUGGAACUGAGACACGGUCCAGACUCCUACGGGAGGCAGCAGUGGGGAAUAUUGCACAAUGGGCGAAAGCCUGAUGCAGCAACGCCGCGUGAGGGAUGACGGCCUUCGGGUUGUAAACCUCUUUUAGCAGGGAAGAAGCGAAGGUGACGGUACCUGCAGAAAAAGCACCGGCUAACUACGUGCCAGCAGCCGCCGCCG